rnacentral:rRNA from 1 species
CCUGGGGAGUACGGCCGCAAGGUUAAAACUCAAAUGAAUUGACGGGGGCCCGCACAAGCGGUGGAGCAUGUGGUUUAAUUCGAUGCAACGCGAAGAACCUUACCUGGUCUUGACAUCCACAGAACUUAGCAGAGAUGCUUUGGUGCCUUCGGGAACUGUGAGACAGGUGCUGCAUGGCUGUCGUCAGCUCGUGUUGUGAAAUGUUGGGUUAAGUCCCGCAACGAGCGCAACCCUUAUCCUUUGUUGCCAGCGGUU